UGGCUCAGUUGACAGAGCAUGGUGUUUGCAACGCCAGCAUGGUGUGUGCAACGCCAGGGUUGUGGGUUCGAUUCCCAC
rnacentral:tRNA from 1 species